rnacentral:rRNA from 1 species
UACGUAGGUGGCAAGCGUUAUCCGGAUUUAUUGGGCGUAAAGGGAGCGUAGGUGGAUUGUUAAGUCAGUUGUGAAAGUUUGCGGCUCAACCGUAAAAUUGCAGUUGAAACUGGCAGUCUUGAGUACAGUAGAGGUGGGCGGAAUUCGUGGUGUAGCGGUGAAAUGCUUAGAUAUCACGAAGAACUCCGAUUGCGAAGGCAGCUCACUGGACUGCAACUGACACUGAGGCUCGAAAGUGUGGGUAUCAAACAGG